CAGUCGCCGCGGGAAUACAGAGGAUGCAAGCGUUGUCCGGAAUUAUUGGGCGUAAAGGGCUCGCAGGCGGUUUCUUAAGUCUGAUGUGAAAGCCCCCGGCUCAACCGGGGAGGGUCAUUGGAAACUGGGAAACUUGAGUGCAGAAGAGGAGAGUGGAAUUCCACGUGUAGCGGUGAAAUGCGUAGAGAUGUGGAGGAACACCAGUGGCGAAGGCGACUCUCUGGUCUGUAACUGACGCUGAGGAGCGAAAGCGUGGGGAGCGAACAGGAUUAGAUACCCCUGUAGUCCCUGUCUCUUAUAC
rnacentral:rRNA from 1 species